GGGCUCCGAAAGGAGAGCGUGGUGUCUGGAGGUGAUCGGAAGGGACUGGCUGGAGUGUGGCGGGCUGACAGGUCUGAGGCCUGAAGGACUUCCGGGAACCGCAAAGCACGGUGUGCCUCCGCUGUCCUGAAGAAAAAGCCGCGCGCGGACGACUGGCCGGCCCGCGCUUGCAGCUCCCAGAAGUUGACAGGCAUCCUCCGGUGACCGGUGUGAGUAUGGCAUCAGGAUGAUUUGACUGCAAGCAACAGAAAAAUCAAACAAAAAUGGCCUAAGCCAAGAAGAGAAAUGAUUAUUUCACAUUCCAAGAAGUUUGGGAGUCGAGUGGUUAAACGGCUAAUUAAUCUAGAGCUCAACAGUAUCACCCAGGACCCAUUUUCACUAUGGUGGCUAAAGCUCUGCACCCUUCAGGCUUGCACCAUGGCAGCAGCAGUGACAGUAAAGACACCCUUACACCACAAUGCUCCAUGACCAGGGAGAGGGUCUCCUCUCUCCUGCCCCUUUCUGGAGGCUCCACCGAAGAUUUCUCUUCACAUUCCGUUUCUCAUUCCUGAAGCAGUUGCUGGCAACAGGGAUGGACUUACCGCAAUGGGUACAGAGCAACUAAGAUUCACCACUAGGUGAGUCCUUUGGAAAACACUUGGCCAUCCAAUAUAUAAACAAAUCUGGUACUCCUGUCAGGAAAGAGGCAGCACUUUAUGGCUUCUCUUGGGCAUAUCCAAAUUGCUACCAUCACUACUCGUAUUAGUCCAUUUUCACGCUGCUGAUAAAGACAUACCUGAGACUGAGAAAUUUACCAAAUAAAGAGGUGUACUGGACUUACAGUUCCACAUGGCUGGGGAGGCCUCACAAUCAUGGUGGAAGGCAAGAAGGAGCAAGUCAUGUCUUACAUGGAUGGCAGCUGGCAAAGAGAAAGCUUGUACAGGGAGACUCCCGUUUUGAAAACCAUCAGAUCUUGUGAGACUCAUUCACUAUUACAAGAACAGUGCAGGAAAGAUGCACCCCUGUACUUCAAUCACCUCCCAGCAGGUUCCUCCCACGACAUGUGGGAAUUGUGGGAGUUACAAUUCAAGAUGAGAUUUGGUUGGGGACACAGCCAAACCAUAUCACUACUCUUGUGCUUUGGGGCCAUUAUGAAGUAAAACAAGCAUUAUUUGAACACAAGAACUGCAAUACCACCACAGUAGAUCUGAUAACUGUUGGCUACUAAGUGACUAAGGGGCAGGUGAAGUAUACAGCUUGGAUGCGAUGGACAAAGAGGAAGAUCUACCUCCCAGCUGGGAUGGAGCAGGACGAUGCAAGAUUUCAUCACACUACUCAGAAAGGCAUGCAGUUUAAAGCUCGUAAAUUAUUUCAGGAAUUUUCCAUUUAAUAUUUUCAGGCUGUGGCUGACCGUGAGUAACAAACCCAGGAAAGCGAAACUGCAGAACAGUGGAUGGGAGAAAGGGUGAAUUACUGUAUAUUCAUGAGGGAUAUUAGUCCAUAGUUUCUUUUUUCCCUUUUAACAAAUUUUUGGGUUUUGUAUAUAGUUUGUCUGGUUUUGGUAUCAGGGUAAUACUAGCUUCAUAAAAUGAAUUGGAAAGCGUUUCUUCUGUUUUCCUAAAAAGAUUAUAUGGAAUUAGCAUUCAUUCUUUAAACACUUGGUAGAAAUCUUAAGUAAAACCAUCUGAGCUCGGAGAUUUUUUUGUGUGUGUUAUAAAAUUACAUAUUCAGUUUCCUUAAUAUUUAUAAGAUCAUUUUAAUUAUCUGUGUUUUUCAGUGAAACGGGUCAAUUUUCUGUAUGUUGUCAAAUUAAUAUUUGUAGAAUUGUAUUAGUAUUCUUCAUUAUCCUUUUGAUGUCUGCAGAAUCUGUAAUGGUAUCCCUGUUUUAUUUCUGAUAUUAAUUUGUGCCAUUAUGUCUUUUUUUCUUUGUUGAUCUUGUCAGAAGUUUGUCAAUUUUAUCAAUUUGUUCCAAGAACCAGCUCAUUGAUUUGGUUUCAGUUUCAUUGAUUUCUACUUUUAUCUUUAUUAUUUCCUUCUUUUUCUUGCUUUUGGUAUAUUUUGUGCUUCUUUUUCUAGGUUCUAGAGGUGGAAGCAUACGUUAUUGAUUUGAGACCUUUCCUCUUUUCUAAUGUGAGCAUUUUAGUUACAUUUAGUUCCCUCCUAGGACUACUUUAAUUGGAUUAUUGAGAGGUGUUGAAGUCUCCAACUGUAUUUGUGGAUUUAUUUAUUUUUCCUUUCAGUUCUAUUAGUUUUAGCUUCACAUUAUUUUGCAGCUCUGAUGUUUAAAGGUGCAUGAACAUUUAGGCUCACUAUGUCUCAGUGAAUUGACCCUUUUAUCAUUACGUAAUAUUCCUCUCAGUCUCUGGUCAUUUUCUUUGUGCUGAAAUAUACUUUAUCUGAUAAUAUAAUGACUGUUCCCUGUAGAUUAAUAUUUUCAGGAUGUAUCAUUUUUAUUUUUUUAUUUUCAACCUGCCUGUAAUCAUUAUAUUUGCAGUGAAUUUUUUCUAGACACUGUAUAGUUGAAUCAUUUAAAAAAGUCUGCUCUGGCAAUGUGUCUUUUAAUUGGUGUAUUUAGAUCAUUACAUUUAAUAUAUUUACUGAUAUGUUAGGGCAUAAUAAUUUUUUGUUUUCUGUUUGUGUCUCUGCUUAUUAUUUCUGUUUUCUUUUUCCUGCUUCCUUUGGGUUGUUUGGACAUUUCCUUUAGAAUUAUAUUUCAAUUUAUAUAUAGUUUUUUUUUUAAAAGAGUAUCUCUUCAUAUAGAUUUUUUUAGUGGUUAUAACCAGCUGAUGCUGCUGGUUCGAGAGCCCUUUGGCUGAGAAAGCAGAUAGCUCACCAGCCCGGCAGCCUGGGUCUCCAGGUAGUAUCAGGUCAGGCCAACGACACUGAGACAUUUGUCCACCCUGAGAGGACUCUGAGCACCUGUGGCUGAGGCCAAAGGACCACAGGGCUAAGGAUGGGGAGAGUCCAACUCCAGUCGAUAUGCAUACCUUGGCAAGCUUCUCACUACAGCCCACUGUUCAUGGAGAAGCUGGGCCUUGCAGAUCGACCAGAAACCCCCACGAUAUGCCACUUUCUGCCCCUAUGUCCUGCGUGUCCUGGGCAUUGGCCCUGUCUCCCUUGGCAAACACAGAACACUGUUCCAUCUCAGAGAUUGCUUCACCAGAGAAACAGAUGCAUUUAUGGUACUGUAAGUACUAUAGUAUAUGUGUUGCCAAUUACUGUAAAGUCGUAAGUAUUUAUAAUUCUGGUUCUGAUUUGAUGGGCACUUGAGGUAGCUGUGGGUGGGAGGGUAUGCUUAUUGUCUGAGGAGACUCACAACCAUUUCUCAGGUUUCCCUUGCAGAGUGUGUGCCGUUACCAGUGGGAUAGUGGGUGUGCCAAGGAGAAAAAUGGCCAGUUAGAAAAAAAUCCCAAGACUAGUCUAUGCAGAAUCUCUCGCCUACAGACAGGGCAUUAAUAGCCCAGUGGUGGGUGAGCGGCAGAGGCCAGGACUGGACUCAGACUUUUGCCUCACAAAGCUGUGAGGACUCUGAAGGUCCUGCCCCUGCCUCACACAGCCUCGCCAGGAGUCUGCUGAGCACCUUUGAAACAAGAGCAGGGAAAAGAUGAAGGUCUGGGAAGCCACUGAGCUCACAAUAUUCAUCUACACUGGUCACCUUUGUGUUAGAGAGUGUGUGUAUCUGUAUGACUGAGUACAUGUGUCUAUGUGCAUAGAUAUAUCUGCGCGUGCCUGUCUGUAUGUGCACAUUAUACGUUGAUGUGUACGUAUGUCAGUUCUAUGGCUGUGUACCUGGGUGGAUAUGUGCACACUGGAAUGUGGGUCCCUGUGUGAGGUUGUAACAUUUGCUUGCAUGUGAGGAUGCAUAUCUAUGUGUAAAUGCUCUCAUGUCUUGCAUGUUUAGUGUGUGUGUAUCUGGGCACACAUGAGUGCAUGUGUAGAGAUACGUGUCUGUGUGUAUGCUUGCUCUCCAUGCAUCUGUGUUUUUAUAUGUGUAACUGAGUAUAUUUCUACAUGUGGGGGUGACUGCGUGUUCUUCUUUGAGGAUCUGCAUGAAUGUGUCCUUUUUGCGAGAUUUCUCUUCCCAUUCAUCUUACAUCUCUCUCACUAGUUAAAUGUUCCCCAUCUCUGUGCCUCCUCUAUUCAUUCUCUCUCACCAAAUGAGCUUCUAAGCACCAGUCUCCCUCUGCCAUCAAGAUUGGCUGUUUUCACUGCACAGUUCUCUUCUCACCCCGUACUUGCUUUCUUCCCCUGCCUUUCUCUGCCUGCUUUUGUCACAGUCUCAUUGCUUGCUGACUUGGAGGCUAGGGCUGGUCUUCACUUAGCCUCUCCCUUCCUAAUUUCUAGCCCCAGUGGGCAACCCUGUCUUAGCCCUGGCUGACCUCCACAGUGAAUCAUCAUGUUCCUGCUACUUUCCUGACCCCUAUACUCAGCCUGGAAUUAUUGUAGGAGAUAGCAAGAGCAUUCAGAAGAGUCAGUUGGUUACCAGUGCCUUGGUGUUUACUCUUUUAUGUCUUAGUUCCUUAGCUGGGGGUGGGGUUUGAUAGGGAAGGGGUGGUAUAGCUAGAAUGCAAACUAAGAACUUCUCCAUCUGCUUUCCUUUUUCUUUCGUUGACAAAAUGUCACCUUUUCUACUCCAAACUGACCAAGAAGUUGUAUUUGCCGUUUGUGGCUACUCACGUCCUACUGCCCAGCCAAGGGACCCUAUAACAUCUCAGUCCAAUGAGUUGGUUGAAAAGAAGAGAGGGAGAGAGGUCACUCUCAUUUUCGUAUCACAAUUGCCCUUCUUUUUAGCAAGUGUAUGAACUCACAGUGCUUUUCUAUGAAUAAACCAUGGAUCACAUGAAAAAUCAUUUUUCUUAAAGAAAAAAAAUUCCCUAAACCCAGAGGGGACCAGCAAAUACUUAACAGGAGAUUAGAGAUUUCCUGUGAGUGCAUAUGGUGCGGGGUGACCUGAUUCUGUGAAGCAAAUGUUAUUGUCCUCCUUAAAUUCAUGUGUUGAAUUCUAAUUCUAUGUGAUGGUAUUUGGAG
rnacentral:lncRNA from 1 species